rnacentral:lncRNA from 1 species
UUGACAUGAGUAAUCUUUUGUUGACUACUUUUUGUUAUAUACCUAUUGAAUUUUUAUAAUACAAUAAAAGAUAUUGAUCCAUGAUUUAUACUUAUAGAUAAUGAAGAUAUCUUGAAACUAUAAAUUGACAUUCUUUGAAUAUAUAUAUAUAUAUUGAUUGUUUGGAUAGGUUAUAUGUAUUUUGAGUAGAAUAAUUUAUGGAUUAAUUUUAAGUGGAUGAGUGUUUUCAGAAAAGUGGAUAGUUGAUGAAUUUUGGAGAGAAAGAAAGGGAAAUGAAUUAAGAAGCAGAAAAAGAAAGGAUGUGUAAUGAAAGAUUGGAAGAAUUAUAGGAAGAGAAAAGGAGAAGUAUGAGAUUAGAAAGGGUAAAGGGGAGGGUGGCGUUGGCGUGAUUUAGAAGUAAAUGAGUUAUAAUGGAAAUUAAGUAAGGAUGAGAAAUUGGAUUUAAUGAAAAAAAAGGAAGAGAGAGAGAAGAAAAGGGAAGGAAAAAGAGGGAAGGGGCUCGGAACCUUGAAAGACAGAGAGAGAGAGAGUGUUCGUUGUGUUUCCAAAACCAGCAAGUUGCAUCUUUCCUAAAAGCCCCCACCUUCCCUCUUUCUAAUCAAAAUUCACUGAACCCAAAUCCCCAUCUUCCUUCUCUCUCUCUCUCUCUCUCUCUCUCUCUUAACGUUUCAGUAAAAUUAAAAAUCCAUAUAACAAGACCCCAUCAAAUCAAUAUUCAUCCCCCUCUUCCUCCCUUCCAAUUCACCGCCUCUCUCAUCAUCAUCAUCAUCAUAUCAUUCCAUAAAUUCCCCCAUUUCUCCUCUUCCCCUUUUCUGAUUUCACUUUAUUUAUUUCUUCCAUCUCACCUUCUAGAUCCAUUUUUCAUCCUAUACCCUAUUCUACUCUUUUCGGCCAUAUAUCUCAUCUCUCAUGCACCUCCUUCUGGAUCCUUUCAUUCUUUGAUUUUGUAUCUUUUUCAUUUAGAUGACUCUUGGAUUCCAAGAAGCUGAGAAAAGGGGUGUUCCCAAUCCCAACCAUUUUCUUCAUUUGCACCAACCCUCUCAAAAUCAUUACUAUUCCAUGGAUGGAUCCUCCAAUAAUUCCAAUUUCGGUUCCGAUUCCACCAAUAGGAUUACGUAUUACGCCGCCGCAGCACAAGACCGGCGUAAGGUUGAGUAUUUGCGAUCUCUAUCCCAGGGGACACCACGUCGAUUGGUGCCGGCCGCGAGCUAUUUAGGGGUUCUGCUCUGUUUGGCGGCGUCUUUGUUGAUUCUUCCGUUGGUUCUACCGCCGCUGCCGCCGCCGCCUUUGAUGCUGCUGCUGCUUCUUCCGAUUGGGAUUUUGGGAAUGCUAAUGGUGUUAGCGUUUAUGCCUUCUAAUGACACCAAGGAUAUAACCUCUUCCUCUCAUACAUAUAUGUAAUGUAAAUGUUCAAUCAUCUUUUUCUUCCUUUUUUUCUUUUUGGGAAAAUUUUGUAUGUUCUUUAAUUUCUCUUUGCACAUCAUCAAAAGAAGGGGAAAAAAAAAGGGAGAGAUUGAAAAUCGGUUCUUUGAUUACUCGAAAAAGUUUAAUUUGUUAGAUUUAAUAAUGAUGAUGUGAUGAAUCUGGCUGCUUCGAAUUUUUUAUUUACCAUUCUUUUAUUAUUUCUGUUCUUGUGUAUCUAUACAUUGCAUUUUCUCACGUUUCAAUUCUCUAUGAUAAUGAUCUUAAUUACUGUGGGUCCUUCCAUUUUAUGUCUGUCUCCCUUUUUUUUCUUUGUUUUACACCAUAGUUUCAUAAAUAGACUAACCCCAUCUCAUAUAUAACAAAUAAUAUAUAUUAUACAUAUAAGGUUUCUUUAUUAUGGUAAUUACCAAUAGUAGAUCAUUUAAUUUUAUUUGUUGAAUUGAAUAGGCACUUGGCUUAUUUUUCGUUUUUAUUUUUUCAAUUCUACCACUUUAUGGAAGUACGAAAUGGUGACAAACUUAUAUAAUAUAAUACAUAGUCGGAGAUUUGUUUUCUGUUUUGCUUUUUUUUUUUUUUUUUUUUAAAUCUUGUCUAUAUUUAGUUUAUUAUAUUUGAAGGUGUCUUAGUUUUUAAAGAAUUCAUUGGCGAUGGGGGAAAGUUGGGCGAAAGUUGUGCGAAAUGGAGGAGAUUGUAAUCACAGGUAACGCCAAUAUUUUGGCUAUAACUAUAAGGAAUAAAUACUCCUAUAUAACCCCAAAACCAGCAUCAUGACUCAAUUACCUUUUGGCUUUUAUAUGGUUCACUAAUCAUUUAUAUGAUCAAAAUUUUAGUCUAUUAACAUUAAAAGAAACAAAAAUUCUUUUAACGUUUUAAUUGGAAAAAAGAUACUUCUACUUAUAUGUAUCAUUCUAAAUAAAAGGUACUUUGAUUUGCGUACCAUUUUAAACUUUACUUCCUCAUCUCUUUUCCAAGAGCAUGCGGAAGCCAAUUAAUUUGAAAGCUUUUAUGAAUAUGAAAGUAAAGGAGAAGGGAGGGAAAGGUUUUGGAAAGAAACAAAAAAGAGGGGAAGGGUAAGGCAAUGUAAAUGGACUGGGCCUUUAACUUGGUCCAUUCAAAUUGUUGGGGUGGAAUUUAUGUUAGGUCGUUAGAGAGAGAAACGGGAUGGUAGUGCAUAUGCUUUUGGUCUCAUUUUGCGUAUUCAAUGUAUCUUGGGUUUGUAACGGUGAUGAAGUGCAUAGAUAAGGUAGAAUUUUCUAAACACAUAUUUUUCUAACUUGAUUCUGAAGUGACUAAACUCUUUAAUUUCAACCCAUCUUUCCUCUAUUUUCUGAAUUUUUAAAUCGAUUUUAUAUAUUAUAUUUGUUAUGAAUCACUUAGACUCCAAAAAUAUAAUAUUUGUUAUGAUUUAGUUUUUAGACUCCAAAAAUAUUUAGUGCUAGAUGAGCUCAUGUAGGCAAAAUAAAAAAUAUUUAAUCUAAAAUAGAUGUCAGUAUUUACUUAACAAUAUAAUUUCAAAUUGUUAUUAAAAAUAUAUAUUAUGUAUUAUUUAAUUGUAAAUUACCGAAAUUGUUUAUGAUAUAAAAAAUUAAAAAAUUUUAAUAUAUAUUUGUCAAUACAAUCUUGUUCAAAAACAAAAUCAUAGAUAUCCUACCUCAUGUUAGGAUCCAUUGAAAACAAAAUCUUAUUUCAAAUAUGUAAGCUUCUAAAGAAUAUGAAAGUAAAAGAAAGGGAAAUGGUUUCAAAAGAAAAAGAAAAAAAAAGGGAAGUCUAAGGCAACGUAAAUGGACUAGGCUUUAACUUGGUCCAUUGAAUUUGUUGGAGUGGAAUUUAUGUUUAGGUAGUUAGAGAAAAAAGAGAAAUUGGUAGGAAUGACAGAAAAAACAAACUAGGUGGCUAUUAGAAUUUUGAAAUGUCACGAUAGUUGCUUACUCUAUCAUUAACCAAAUCAAGAUGUAGGUGAUGAAUGUGACGAUAGAGUUGUAUUGUUUAUCAUGAACUAUAUCAUACCAAGAAGUUAAAAAGUAGCAGAGUAAAACGUUAAUGAAUGUCAAUAUAGAGUUGUGUGGUCUAUCAUAAACCGGAUUUAAAAUAAAUAAAUAAAAUAUCGAAGUUUAAAAUAUUCAAAAAAAAUAAAAAUAAAAGAUUAAAACAUCUAAAGAAAAUAUUGAAAAUGGCUAAUAAAAAAAAUUCGUUUAAAUUGGAUUUGGGGAUUUAAGACCUAAAAAUUUACCAAAUUAAAUUCAUUAAAAAAAUUAUGCAUUAAACUCAAAAUUCAUCCAAUUUCAUAUAACAUUUUAAUCACUUAUAUUCAAAUGUAUAGUGUGGUUAUUUUUACAUAUUAACUAAAGUUAAAGAUAAGAAUAAUUUUUUUUUAGAUAAUCGUCUUCAAGAUUUACCUAUCCAUACACGAGCACGAAUCUCGAAAAGGACAUUUGUUGAGCAAUAAAUUUCGGUCAAUUAAAUUAUGUCACAUUGUCAUAGCAAACAUUGUGAUAAUUAUAAGAAAAAUCACUUACGGUGUCUUUUAUAACUAUUUUAACCUUCAGAUCAAUAUUAAAUAUAAUUAAUUUUCGAAAAUAUAUAAUAAAUGUUACCUUAAUUAUAUUAUAUCAAAUUUAUUAUCUAUUUUAUAACUUACAUAAUAAUUAUAAUAAAUAAUCCACAAUUAUAUUUGUAUUAUUUAAUCUUACGAUAUCAUUUAUUGUAAAUUUACUUUUAAUAUGAUAUUAAGUUGAAGCUAAUAUGAUAAUAUUAUAUUUAAUAAUUUUUAUAAAUUCAUUUUAUUUAAUUUCAUUCUCAACACAAUGUUAAAAUGUCACAAACCUACUUUUUAUUAAUCAUUAACAUACAUUUUUCUAAUUGUAUUGAUAUAAAUUUUUAUGUGUAAAAUUUGUUAUAAAACUAAAAUACGAUGUAAAAUAUGCACACAUACAACGUUAUCUAAUCUUAUGUUAAAUAUACAUGAGUAUAUAAUGAUUUAUUUAAAUUUAAAACAGUUUCAGUCACGGUAAAAUUUUACAACUUAACUUCAAUGAUGUGAAAAACAAUGCAAAGCGGAAGAAAGAAUGGACGGACAGAUAGAUUGGAAAGUUAGAGAGAUCGAGAGGAAAUUUUUUUUUUGAACAAAAUCACAAAAAAUAAUAAUUAAGGGGUUUGAAUUAUAAUAUUACUAUAAUAGAAUUAAUCACGUAUCAUACUUACAUAGGAUAUCUAAUAAAUGCAAAUCUUAAUCAUGGUCCAUUUUUCUUAUUUCAUUUUUCUAUUUUUUAAUAUAUUGUUAAUAAUAAAUAUAGGUAAAUUAGUCACUUGGGUCAUAUAUUUGUAUAAAAUAUAGGAAUAGUUACAAAUUUAGUAAUUAGAUUUAAAAUAAUUAAGUAUAUAGCAACAUUUUUAAAAAAAUUGCAAAUAUAGCAAAUUUUGGCAAUAAUAGAUCAUACGAGUCUAUUAACGAUAGUUUAACUAUAUUUGUAAGUUUUUUAAAAUGUUGCUACAUCUGUAAUUAUUAUUUCUAAAAUGGUCACGAUUACAAUUACCCUAAGAUAUAAGCCAAUUUAGGACAUUUUUGAAAAAUUUGGGUCUUCUAAUAUGAUAUACUAUUUUAAGUCUUAGUAGUUAAAACCCUUAAUUAUAAUUGUUUGCGGGUAAUCAAUUCAAGUCAGAUGAAAAAAUUGGACCAAAGAAAUAAUGGGUCCAAGUCCAAUAUCAUCGUAUAGAUCCAAGCUCAAAUCCAACGAGCAAAUGGGUUCAGGUCCAAGCUCACGUUAAGUCAAUGAAAAUUCUUAAUAAAUAAAGACAUUAACUUCAUUUAACGAAUCUUGAAUCGAAGGAAUAAUUAAAGCUACGAAGAAUUGAAGAUGACUCGUAAUACUAAAAUAAUUCGUUAUAUUAUAUGAAUUGAAUUAAAAUGUAAUUAUUGCAAAAGAUUCCCGGGAGAAUUUCUUAUCUUAUUCUCUACUUCAAUUUCAUGAAUAACCUUAUUUUUCCACGCAUGCAAAAAUUUUAAACUUUGGUGACACCCAUAAAACAAGUUAUACAUUUAGAUGGAUGAACUAUGAUUUUUUUUAAGUCCCUUUCAUGUAAACACUUCUAUAUAAAUUGUUUUACAUAAAAACACUCGUGUUUGGUUAUUUUUAAUCACAUUCUAGAAACCAAAUAAGUUUUUGCUAUUUUUUUUAAGUUUUUAAUGGUUGAUUUGAUUUUUAAAAACAUUAUUAAAAUAUGAAUAACAAAACAUAAUAAUUUACGUGAAAAUAGUGUUUAUAUGCAUGUAUAAGUUUAAUUUAACAGAUAUUUUGUAUGUUUUCAAGAGACAGAGGUCCUGAGUUCAAAUCUCUCCACAAAAAAUUGUGCUUAUAUGCUUAAAUUUUAAAACAACAGUCAAAUUUUACUUUCUAUUAGUGAUCGAUCACUCUAUUUAGAUCGAUUGUUUUACUUAUUUUAAUUAUUACAAGAAAGAAUAAGUUUUAAGUAGGAGUCUUCAAAUAUCCCAACAACUCAACUAUCCAAUCUAAACUAUAAAGAGUUGGGUUGAGUUUGAGUUACAUUUUUUAAAAUAACUUGACCUAACUCAACCCAACCCAACUUAAACUUAUAAUAUUAUUAAAAUAUGUAUAUUACUACUUAUACAUAUUGUUAGAGAGUUUUUUUUAAAGUUUGUAAUAGAUAUAUUGAUUUUUGAUAUUUAAUUUAUGAAAUUUUAGUUAUUAAGACGUGUGUGUGAUAAAAAAAUUAAAAAUAUUUUAAAUUAAUAAAUAAUACACUAAAAAUAAUAAUAAUCCAACAAUCCAAUCUCAUUAAAAUUUGUAGAGUGAAAAUGGAGAUAUUAAUGAUAAAUAAAAGUAGAGAGUAAAAAGGAAUAUAUUUAAGGGAAAAAAAGAAAGGGAGAUUGAAAUAUAUGAUGAGGUGGGGGAGGUGGUGAUUAUAUAAAGUUUAGGGAAGGGAAGUAAUGAUUUUUGGUAUGCAUGCCAAUUGACUCCUCCAGCAGGAAGGAAGCCCUAGGGUGAACAACAGGAUCUUCUCGCUCAUCAACUCUUACUGUAGAUCCAUUUCUACUUCCUAUUGCUCUCUAAAUUCUUCCUUUUCCCACACCUUCAAUCGCCAUGGAUGAAGAAUACGACGUUAUUGUGCUUGGAACCGGUCUCAAGGAGUGCAUCCUCAGUGGUCUUCUCUCCGUUGAUGGCCUUAAGGUCUUCUUUUUAUCCCUUUUUCAGAUCCUUUACCCCGUUUCUAUCUUUACUUCUCUAAUUUAUCUCCUUUUAUUUUAAAUUUGUUCGAUCAAUGUUCUGUCUCUGAUUCUGAUCGGUCUUACCAGGCACUUCUUUCUCAUUUCUUGCAUUUUUCUUGCCUUUUUCUAUCUUGAUCUUACUUGCAUCCCUGAAUUACUUAACAUCUAUAUCAUCCUACAGAUCUUUGUUUUUCCCCCCCACUUGAGUUGAGGUGCUCCCAGAUUAAGAAAUGGGAUAUUGUAGUUCUUUUCUUUUAUGCAUCACCUGUGAAGCAAUAUCAUGCCAGUGAUUUUUAUAUAUUUUUUUUUGCGAAGUAUCGAAUUGCUUAUGAGAGAAGGAAAUUGGUCGGGGCUGUUAGUGGAAAUCAAUUAGUCUUUGGUCUGCUACAUCUUUUCCUUUAUCAUUGAGAGGGUUUACACGUUUGACUUUUUUUAUUUUUUCUUGGCUGUUAACUGGAGUUAUGGGAUUCUUUUGACUUUCGACACAUACCAUACUGACUGCCGGUCUUUGUUUGCUAUUUGAAAUGGUUAGAAGCUUUUUCACUGACCUCCUUUUUUUCAUGUUUUAGGUUCUGCACAUGGAUAGGAAUGACUAUUAUGGAGGUGAAUCUUCAUCGCUUAAUCUCAUUCAGGUCCUCUUCUCUGCUGACUAGCCCCAUCAUCUUAUCGAAUUCCAGUUUUUUCUUGUGCUAUUCUUCAAUCAUAUCAUGUAUUUACUGUUUUAAUUUAAUUUGCAGCUUUGGAAGCGGUUUAGGGGAGAUGACAAGCCACCUGCCCACCUGGGUUCUAGCAGGGACUACAACGUGGACAUGAUUCCAAAGGUCUUUCUUCCCCACUUUGUUUUGGUUUUUUUGCUAGUUUCUUGCACACUUCGUCAACUGAUAUGCUCGUUACUUCUAUUUUCUAAUGAAUAUGCUCUCUCAUUAUUUACACCUUUUCUUUUCAUUAUUCUCGAUGUUAUACUAAUACGUAUGGUUGUUUUCUCUUUGUGGCUAGUUUAUGAUGGCAAAUGGAACACUUGUGCGUGUCCUUAUCCAUACAGAUGUAACCAAGUAUUUGUCUUUUAAAGCUGUUGACGGUAGCUAUGUGUAUAACAAAGGAAAGGUAAUUCUACUUUCAUUUUUAUUUUGUUUAAGAUUCCAUGCUCUUUAUCUUUGAACUAUUAAUAAAUGUAAGUUAUUUAUAUAACUUAAUGAUGCCAUAUGCCUUUUUAUAGAUUCACAAAGUUCCAGCCACAGAUAUGGAAGCUCUUAAAUCUCCACUUAUGGGCUUAUUUGAGAAACGCCGUGCUCGCAAGUUCUUCAUCUUUGUCCAAGAUUAUGAUGAAAGUAAUCCUAAGACGCAUGAAGGAAUGGACUUGGCAAGAGUGACAACAAAAGAAUUGAUUGCGUAUGCCUCAAUUUCCAUAUAUAACUUUGUCUUGUUAUUGAUGUUACUAUCGUUUUCUUUUUGAUGACAAACAUAUGUUAUUGACGUAACUAUGAACUUUAUACUAAAAGAAACUUUAACAAAGACAUUUAAAUAACUCUCACUAAUGAUAUUUGAACGAUCCUUUGGGAUUUUCUACUUAUCGUUGUAGAAAAAUCAUUGUCCAUUGCUUUUAAAUUAAAUGCUAGGCACCUUAUGAAAUGGAUAUUACCUUGUUUCAUAACCUUGAGUAUUGACUAAUCACGUAACAGUGAUAGUUUUAUUGUGACAGUAAAUAUCCAUUAUUUUGCUUGGACUAAGCAAAUUGGCAUAGGUUUAUUGUAGAAAAUAAAGAAUUGUUUUUGUGCCAGACUAAUUGAUACUGAUAAUGAGUAGCUGUUGACAAACAUGUGGAAAGGUACAUGAAGCAUACGGUCCUUUUCUUUAAUUCCUCCACCCAUGACAUAGGAAGGAUCAAGAAUUAGCAUGUGUUGAAGCAGAUUUAUCUCUUUGCCUAUGAAAUAUCGUGCAUUUCUCUCAAUAUAAGUGCACCAUAAGAAACAGGCGACAACUUCUUUGCCUUUUUCUUGAAAGGUUGUUAAGUGAGAAGAGAUUUGAUAUCAAUUGGCUUUUACCUUAUAGUUCAAAGUAGAAAACCAUUUGGAAUAGGGGAAAAGCUAGUUCCAAAAGUAGGUUGCUGUUGAACAUUGAAUGAAAUAUGGACUCAGAGAUUCUACUGCUUUCUUCAAAAAAUGUGUUGCCUUGGAAAGAGAGCCAUCUAAGAAUUUCUCGUUUGGAUUUUGUUUAGGUUGCUAAUAUUAUCUAACUAGGGGAUCAAGGGCCAAAACCAGGAGUUAUUGACUUUGAAGAGUUGCUUUUAAAGAAGAGUCCAUAAAAGAAAGCCAAUCUUGAAAAUAAUUCAAAUUUCAUCCAAAAUGAAGGUUCGAAACGGACAAGGUAUCAUUCCAAAUAUGACCUACGGUUUUGAAAGAGGUAGUAGGGAUGGCAUACAAUAGAGAGUAGAAUAGCUAGUAAGGACGACCUUAACCUUGAUUAGGUCAAUACUGAGUGGAAUCCCUAUGAAUUAUUAAUCCCUUUUUAGGGCCCCUAGCUUGAUGUGUAGGAGUAUUGAUAAGUACAUGAGAGAUUUUCUGUGUGAAGUGGCUUUGCGCUUUUCCCUUGAACCCGAUACUUUAUGGCAUAGGAUUACUGUGGGUAAUGGCACCCAUUCUUUUGAAUGGACUGUGAAAGGGGUUAAAGACAUACAUCGUAAUCCUUGGAAAGAUAUCUCUUUCUAGCUUUGACAAAUUUACUUGUGGGGGAUGGUAAGGACACAUAUUUUUGGGAGAAUCAUUGGGUGGGGGAGAAUUCCCUUUGUUCUUUAUUUCCACAUCUUUAUCAUUUAUCCUCUUCCAAAGAUUGUAUGGUAUCAAAUCUUUUGGUUGGCUCGGAGAAUCUCGCGCCUUUCUCUUUCGGGUUCUGUUGUAAUUUGAUCAAUAGGGAAACGACGGAGGUUGCCUCCCUUCUUUUUUUGGUUGAGGGGUGUAGCUUUAGGGAGGGAAGAAGGGAUGUUUGUGUUUGGAGUCCUAACCUGAGUCAAGGAUAUACAUGUAAUUUCUUGUUCUGUUGUUGGAUCCCUCCCCUCCUAUGGAGUGUUUUUGAUGUGGUUUAGAGGACUAAGGUUCCUAAGAAAGUCAGGUUCUUUAUUUGGCAAGUCUUGCUUGGUCGGGUUAACACUGUUGAUAGGCUUGUUAGGUCUUUUUGUUGCUUGCUUUGUCGGAAGGCGGAGGAAGACCUUGAUUAUCUUUUUUGGGAUUGCCAGUACGAGUAGGCUAUGUGGAGUUCUUUUCUACUGGAAUUUGGUGUUAGCUAUGUCGGCCUUCAAGGCAUUCGUGUGACGAUCAAGGAGUUCCUCCUUCAUCCUCCCUUUAGAGAAAACGUGGGUUUUUUUAUGGCUUGCAGGGGUGUGUGCUGUUAUUUGGGACAUUUAGGGGGAGAGGAACAAGUGUUUCGUGGUAGGGAAAAGGGUUAUAGUGAGGUUUGGUCUUUGGUUAGAUUUCACAUUUCCCUUUGGGCUUCAAUUUCGAAGACCUUUUGCAACUAUAUUACACUGGUAACAUUUUACUCAGUUGGACUCACUUUUAGUCGAGGUGUUUUCGUGGUCUUGAUUUUUUUGUAUGCCCUUGAAUACUUUUAUUUUUUCUCAAUGAAAGCUAUUAUUUCUAUAAGAAAGAAAAAGCAAGACAUGAGGAAGAGGGAGGUGCUUCCCAGCCAAAUUUCCUCCUAUAAAUUUCUAUGGAGGCCAAAUAACAGCAAUAGAAGUAAACAAUAGAAGUAAACAAUAGAAGUAAACAAUAGAAUUAAACAAUAGAAUUAAACAAUAGAAGUAAACAAUAGAAUUAAACAAUAGAAGUAAACAAUAGAAUUAAACAAUAGAAGUAAUGAGAGCUUUAGAAUCACAGGCUUCCCUCCAUCCUCUCAGCCCAAAUGACAAUGGCUUUAUGACAAUUGCUUUCUUCUUUGAGUUGAAUUCUUAGGUUAGCUUUUAUUUUUUAAUAAUAAUAGAAAUAACAAUUUCCAUUAAGAAAAAAAUGAAAGAAUGCACUGACAUAAUAAUAGAAAUAACAAUUUCCAUUAAGAAAAAAAUGAAAGAAUACACUGACAUACAAAAAACCAAGCCCACAAAAAAUAGGGGACCCCCUAUACAAGAAAAGGGGGUUCCAACUAUACAAAAUCCAGUCUAAAGGAUAAUUCUAAAAGAUCUUCGAAAUCAAAGCCCAAUGAGAAACAUGAAAAUGAACAAUAAACCAAAUCUCCCAACUCCCCUUUUCAACCCUUCUAUUCCUCUCAUUCCAUGACACUCACAAGAUGUGCUUAAACACAAGCGUGCCACAGAAAUGGCCUCUCCCCGAACGACGGAUUAGGGAGGAACUCCAUGAUCAUCACUCUAACAUCUCUUUGAUGAACAUACAAAAAGCCGAAUGUCUUGAAAAAGGCAUCCCAAACACAACUUGCCAACUCACAAUGCUAAAGAACAUGGUUCAAGUCUUCUGGCACAUAAUACAACAGAAAGGCCCAACGAAUGAAGGCAACUUCUUAGAAAGCCUAUCCAAUGUACUAAUACAGUCGUCAAGAACUUGCUAAGAAAAGAACCUCACCUUUCAAGGGACCUAAAUCCUCCACACCAAAGAAAAGGUUGACUUCAAAGGAUAAGGCUCAAAAUCUUCAAAUCUCUUCGCCCAAGACAGAAAAAUGACUCUCAAGAAGGGAAAUGAAAGCCUCAAUGUCUGCUCUUUCCCUAUCUGAAAGAGAACAACAGAACCCAAGGAAAACAUACAAGAGCUCCCAAUCCACACCAGUAAAUUUGUCACAAAAUGAUUUUUCGAAGAAGACAAAUGAUACAACUCGUGGAAUAACCCACGAGACCCCCACCCACAGAUCUUCCUGAAAAUAUGUCUCUCUUCCCUCCCAACCACACAAUGGACCAAGGAAUAAAAUAAGGAAGCUCUUUCGUAAUGUCUUUCCAAAGAUUUCGAUAAGCGCAUUUAACCCUUUAGCCAACCAAUUGAAAGGAUGGGAACCAUGUUUACUUGCAAUAAUCAUGUGCCAAAGAGAAUUAGAGUUGGUGGAAAACUGCCAUGUUUCUAAAGGUUCAAGCUGCACUAAGGCGCAAUGGUCCUCUGGAGUCUAGGCGCAAGGUGCAUAGAACGGUGCGGGCUUUUUUUCAUGAGGCGCAUUAUAUGUAAAGAAUAUAUAUGUGUAUGUAUAUAUACAUAUGUAUCUACAAAAUUGAAAGGAGCAACAAUGUGGCGUAGGUUCAUUGCUAGUAAGCACCCUUAUCCUUUCGAGUGGCUCUUUAAGGAGUUUAGAGGUACUCACUGGAAUUUGUGGAAGGAAAUAUCAAAAGAGUCUACCUUCUUUUGUUCACUUGGCUUGUUGGCUUGUUGCGUGGUGGGGGAAAGGAAAGGCAUUUAUUUUUGGGGGGACCAUUUUGUGGAGGAGAGACCUUUUUGUACUUUGUUUCCUCAUCUGUAUAAUUUGUCAACUUCAAGAAUCAUUUUGUGUGGUUUGGGAGUUCUUGUUCCUUUCGGGUUAUGUCACUCUCUCUCCGGUAUGGAAGCGAUGAAUCUGGUCUUUUCUUGCUUUACUCCAAGAUCACCUCUUUAGGCGUGGGAGAAGGGACAUCAAAAUUGGGAGUCCCAAUUCUUUGGAAGGGUUCUUGUGCUAAUCUUUCUUUCGUUGUUUGGUUGAUCCUUCUCCUUUAGGAGUCUUGGUCUUUUUGAUGCUACGGGGGAUUACGAUCCCUAUAAAGGUGAGGUUCUUUACCUACAAGUUUUAGAUGGCCGUGCUAAUAUGUUGGAUCGACUUGUGAGGAAGUUGCCUUCCCUUAUUGGCUCUUUUUGUUGUAUUCUUUUCUGGAAGGUGGGGGAAAACUUGGAACAUAUUCCCUGAUGCUAUGAGUUUAAGAGUUGUGUAUGAGAUUCUUUCCUCCAAAUGUUUGGGUUGAUGCAUGCUUGUCAUUUAGAUACUAGAGCUAUGAUCAAGGAGUUUCUUCUCAACGUGCCUUUUGGAGAGAAGGGUUGCUUUUUAUGGCUUGUUGGGGUGUGUUCAAUCUUAUGGGUUUUGUGGUGAGCAGAAUAGUUUUUAUUGUAAUGGAAAGGGACUCUAGGGAGAUUUUGUACGUCAUUUGCUUUUAUGUUUCUUUGUAGUCUUCAAUUUUUAUUUCUUUUUGUAACCAUUCUAUUGGCGCUAUUUUUGCAUGGUUGGAGUCCCUUGUUGUAAAGGGAGCUCCCUUCUAUUAUGGGCUUGUUUUUUUCUUGUAUGUCCUUGUAUUCUUUUAUUCUUUCUUAAUGAAGUUGUUUUUACACAAAUAUAUAUAAACCACCCUUCUCCCUCUAAAGGCCGAUAGAAAGUUUCACAGUAUUCUUGUGGGGUAAGCAAUCUGUAGGGGAGUCAAAUUUUAGACGCUGACUCUUCUUCAAAUAGCACUACUUUCAAUCGCCUAAAAAAUGUUAAGUAUAUUUAGAAGGAAGACCAAAUACUUUUAAGAGAGAGAUCUCCAGACUCCAAUUCUGAAUUCUCCAGAAAGGGAGUGGGUAAUAGACUUUUGCUACUUACAAGAUGGGAGCAGCCUCUUUGUUGUUACCUUCUCAAAACAAUCUCACAACAUUUUCUUAAGGUAAUCUUCCCUGGAAUGUUGAAAAGAGACAAUUAAUGUGUGGACAAGGCUUGUGAGUGAUAUUUGAACCAAGUUAAGGUGCCCACGUGUUCCAAGAGGUGGUAUUCGUGGAACCAUUUCCAAAACAGGCUUCUAGAAGACGGGAAUUACAGUUCAAGAGGUUGACACUAUCUUUCUUUGAGAUUCAUCACAACUAGUUUCUAAAAGCUUGGUUUUGUGGAUGUUGAGAUUCAAACCAAGGCCACAACGCAUUAAUCUUCUUGUUCAUAGUAUAUUUGGAUGUAUCCUUUUUCUGAUUUCCUAAAAUAGAUGUCUUUUAUUAAUAUGUUGCAAAGACGAAUGUGCUUAUAUGAAAUUGAUAUGGUUAACAGAAAGUAUGGACUGGAUGACAACACUAUUGACUUCAUUGGUCAUGCAUUGGCACUUCAUAGAGAUGAUCGCUAUCUUGAUCUGCCUGCAUUAGAUACAGUAAAGAGAAUGAAGGUGACAACCAUCUAGACUUGCUAAUUUUUUCACUUUUUUUGUCGUAUGUUAUGCAUUAAAUAUCUCGUCUCCCUUCUUUUAUUUGUGUGAUAGCUUUAUGCGGAGUCUCUUGCACGCUUUCAAGGAGGGUCUCCAUACAUCUAUCCUCUAUAUGGACUAGGAGAGCUUCCACAGGUCUUUAUUUCUCUUGUCCUCCCUAUUUACCUACUAUUGCAUUAUUAGCUAACUUUAUUUAUCUUUUUGUAUAUCUGCCUUAUACUGCUUAAUUUAAUCUAUAUUCACUCCCUCUUAUCUUAUCUUAUCUUAUUUUUUUUACAGGCAUUUGCUCGCCUCAGUGCUGUCUACGGUGGAACAUAUAUGUUAAACAAACCUGAGUGCAAGGUUGUCUUUUAAAUUUGACUAUCUGAUUUCAUAUUGGACUAUAUUUUUCUUUUACUUCAAAUCACGUCAUUGCUUUUUUCACCAUUUAUUUGGGGUUGUCUUGGGUAAAAACAUCUCAGAAACUGAUGUAUCUCUCUUUGAAGUAAAUUGGGUUGGUCUUUGAAUUCUAGGUGGAAUUUGAUGAUGAAGGAAAAGUUAUUGGUGUCACUUCAGAAGGGGAAACUGCCAAGUGCAAAAAGGUUGUCUGCGAUCCUUCCUACUUGUCGAACAAGGUAAGGGAUUUAUUGUCAUACCAAAUCAUUCCAUGUUUUUUGAUUGGUUUCAUUUUAUGACAGGUUUUGGACAUGCAAAUCAUCUAUAAUAUGAGUCUUUUUCUUUUUCUUUUCUUGACCCUAUACUUUAUGUUGUACUUUUCUUCUCAUUCAACGAUUUUAUCAGUAAAUGGAGCCCUAAUAUUUAUGAUAGCUUCAUCUCAUUGUUUGAUAGCCUUCACCCCGUCAAGGAAUCCAUGAAUGAUGAUUUCUCUAAACCAAAUUCAUUAUGUCUUUCUUUUUAAAGUUACGAAGCCUGAAGAAUGUGAUGAAAACGUAGUUCUUCCCAACUUAUAUGAUGUUGUAUAUCUUGAAACAGGUCAGGAAGGUUGGUAAGGUUGCUAGGGCUAUUGCCAUAAUGAGCCACACAAUACCAAACACCAAUGAUUCCCAUUCGGUGCAGAUUAUUAUACCGCAGAAGCAGUUGGGUCGCAGAUCGGACAUGUAAGUUAUUGUAUAGUGCUUAUAGUAAGAGUAACUAAAAUUCCAUUAUGCGCUUCUCCAUCAUUCAAUUGAUGUUCUGAAAUUAGGUAGGGUGGUUUUAGGAGAAGGCAGGUAUUUUAGUUUUUUUUUGUCAAUUCCAUCUGUUUUGGGGAUUGCUCUUUUGUUUCCAUCUGUGACAAUUAAGAUAGCUUUGACAGAUUUCCAGAAAAGUCUCCAUGACUAUUUCUCCAAUUGUUUUUUUCCAAUAAUUUAAUGGCUUGGCUAUGUCUUAUCUAAUGGUACAAAAUUUCAAAUGGAAGAUUUGAAAUUCUUUUGAUCCUUUUUGGAAUAUACAACAUACACAUCUGUUUCAUAUAAAUACCAAAGAAAAGUAAAAAUUUGCAGUUCUAUUGCUUUAUGACCAGAAUUCACUCCACUUUUGGUUUUUCCAAUAAUUUAAUACUCACAACCUGCCUUCUACUAGCUUGGCUAGUUGUCAUCUAAUGACAUAAAAGGAAGACUUGAAGAUUUACUGCAUAUGACCAAAAUUCAUUUUUUUUUCUGAUCUGUCGCUGAGUUUCAGAUUCAAUUAUCUGUGUUAUAGAGGGGGUUAAGCAUUGGCAUAGAUAUUUUUGAAGAAUUAAAAAUCUUUGUAGUGCUUUGCAUAUGCCAGUUUGUUGGUUGAGGUAGAACAAGUUUAUCUACGUUGCUUUUACCAUAUAAUUGGGCACUUUGUUUGUACUUGACUAGUGAGUUUUCAUUUUAGGAGUUUUGUUAAGUGUACCUCAACCCUUCUAAACCCUUAAUCAACUAUAACUGUGCAAGUAUUAGUGUCCAAAUGGCUUUGUUGAAACUUCGAUACUAUUUUUGAGUGAUGCUCUUGGAAUCGGUUGUGUUUUACCCCAUCUUCUAAAAUCACAUUGUUUUUAAAUCUCUGCUCUGUUUUGACAGGUAUGUUUUUUGUUGCUCUUACUCUCACAACGUUGCUCCAAGAGGCAAGUUUAUUGCUUUUGUUACAACAGAAGCUGAGACUGACCAUCCCGAGUCAGAACUAAAACCAGGAAUUGACCUGCUGGGGGCCGUUGAUGAGAUAUUUUUUGAUACAUAUGAUAGAUACGAGCCAGUCAAUGAACCAUCUCUGGACAAUUGCUUUAUAUCUAUGGUAUGUAUUAACAUUGAAAGCUUUUUCUCCUUCCUUCUUCCUCUGCAUGCACGUUUAUAUGAGUGUGCAUGUGUAUGAACUAAUUUGUAUGCACACUUUCAACAGAGUUAUGAUGCUACAACACAUUUCGAAUCAACUGUUGUUGAUGUGCUCAACAUGUAUACAAUGAUAACUGGCAAGGUGAGGAUCAUUUUCCCCAACUCUUUUAAAACUUCAAAUUUUGAACAUUUUUGUUGUAGAGAAUAAACUUUAUAUAGUGUCUCAAUAUUUUUUCCGAUCAUAAAGUUUAAGCUAUGGUGGUGACUUGCCUAGAAUUUAAUAUACUACAAGUUACUUUAACAACUAAAUAUAGUAGAGUUAAACAGUUGUUCAUUAAGCAGUGGAAACUUAAAGAUGUUAAAAAAUAGUACUAAUAAUAAUUCGUAUUUCAUUUGUGGUUAAAUUUUUUUGUAUUGACCACGGGCAUCUGAUGCGUAGUGAAUCAGAGUUUAAUCUUGAGUAGGGUCUGGUGUCUGUAUUAGUUUGUGGUAGUGGGAAAAGUGGUAAGAGAUGGUGUUUUGUUUUUUCAGGCUGUUGAUCUGAGUGUGGAUUUGAGUGCUGCUAGUGCUGCAGAAGAAUGACAAAGCCUCGGAAUGCUUUUGUAAUACUUCGCUUCUCUUUUUUCAUUCUCUGCUAUCAUCUAUACCCUAAAACUUAGAGAUGUGCUUUUGUACUUUCCUUGUGAAAAAAAUGAUUUGAUUUGGUCCCCUGUGUUUUCUUUUUUUCAUGGACUAAUUAUAAAUUUAUGUGUUGAUGCGCUGAUUGCUUCAAUUUUUUCAUCUUCGCACUGCAUUCUUUUUAAAUCAUUGGAAUAGUGAUGCCAUAGUUAAUAAACUUUGGAUAUUAAAAUAAUAAUAAUAACAACAUAUGUCUGCCGUCUAAUGUUCUUUUGUACUUUUUCUUUGGACAUUCUAAUUAAAGCUUUAUCUGAAGAAGUGUUGUAAUCUAAGGUGCAAUUCCUUAAAAUAAUUCAGAGAAAUGAGGCCCUCCUUGGGUUGGAUAGAAAGCGAAAGAAAAGUGUGCAAUUUCAAGAUUUUGCUUCAGAUCCCUUUUCACCUGACCCACCAGUUUACUCAUCCAUUUGGGUCGGGUUGAUUUCUUGUCUGUACAAGCUCGAUUCUAUUGGAGUUGGAUUUGUUUGAAGGGGAAAUUUUACCUGAUCCAAUCCAUUUACAUCUGUAUGUUUUCUUCCAACCUAUUAUUUUGUAAUUUCAUAAACUUUACAAUAAAUUACCUAAUCCAAAAUGAUUUUUGAUUUCUUUUUAAAUAUAACAAAAUAAAUAAAUAUUAGUAAAAUAUUAUCAAAAUAUCAUAUAGAUUCCAAAAUUUUGCUCAAUUUUAUAAAUAAUUUCACCAGCUUUACUGUAUGCAAUAAUUUUUCAUGUUAAUUUUUCUUAAAAUAUAAUUUAAUUUGGAUCUCUGCUUUAUUUUGCCCGGAGAAGAGUGGGGAAAAAAGAUGCAUAAUAUAUAAUAUUUGCUGCAUAUUAUUUAAAUGAUUUGAUAUGUUUAUUAAGUUGAACUCAUGUUAACAAUGGUCGAAUAUUUGGACCAUAUAUUUCGAUAGUAAGUGAUUUGAUAGGUUUAUUACUUGGAUUGUAAAGAUGUGAUCUUGUGUAAAUGUGAAGUAUUUAAAAAGAGAGGAAAUAUAAAUUUAAAAUCAUUUGGGUCAUUAGAUAUAAGUAAAAGAAAAAUGAAUGGUUGAGAUCUAAACUUAAUUAGUUCAAUACAAAUAAUAAUAUAAUAAUAUGUAUUUUCAAAAUACUUUGUUUAAAAAGAAAUCAAUAAAGCAACUUUACAAAACUAGCCGUUAGACACAAGAAAAAAUAAUAAUAUUAAAAUCAUUUUCCUUUUAAAUUCAUUUUCUUUAUAAAAGCCAAUGAAAAAUAACAAAAAGCCACAUUUGUUACUCCUUCAUUGCUCCAAGUGGCUUUCUCUAAUUGGUUCAAAUUGAAUGCUUGGUCGCCACGUCACCAUCUCGGGUAUUUUUCCGUUAACCUUCUUUUAGCAAUAUUUUCUUCAUUUGAACUUCGAUUUGGGUGAUUCAAGAGGCGUUAGAAUCAUUUUUCCAAGCUCUACGAUAUGGUCUAUUCAAAUUAAUAAAAUUGUCAAUAAAAAAAAUCAGAUUUGUUAUCAUCAAAACAUAAAUUAAUUGAAUAAUUAAAAUAAAUUAAUUUGAGAUUAAGGGCCAAAAAGCCAACAAUCUCCCCCUUUUUGAUGAUGACAAAUCAUUGAAGAAAAAUAACUUGAAACACACAUGAUCAACAAGUAAUUCUAAUUAUCAAGAUGUAUAACCAUAAAGCUCAUGUAUAUAUUUCACCACAAAGAACAUACUUGAAAACAAUUGAUAAGAGAACCUUCUUUGUCCUUAAUUAAUUUUUUUUUUCUCUAAAAAAAAUAUGCAUUAUUCAAUAGAAACAAUUAUGCAACAAAUUGAUAAAAACAUAUUUUUCCUUAUACUUCUCCCCCUUUGGAAUCAUCAAAAACAAUACCAAUGAAGUUAGCUCUCCCAAAAAACAUGAACACAUACAAAAUGUCUAAUUCUCCCCCUAUCAAUAUGCAUUACGGUAACAAUAUCAAGUAAGAUAUAAAAUCAAGAUGCAUCCCAACGAAUAAUUCCAAGCUCAAGCCUAUUUUUACAAAAGCUUUCUUCACUCAAAGGUUUGGUAAAUAUAUCCGCUAAUUGAUUAUUGGAACUUACAAACUCAAGAGUAAUAUGACCAUUUUGUACAUGCUCUCUAAUAAAGUGAUGCCUAAUAUCUAUAUGCUUAGUUCUAGAAUGAUGAAUAGGAUUCUUAGUCAAAUUUAUGGCACUAGUAUUAUCACAAAAUAUAGGCACAUUAUCAAAUUUUAAUCCAAAAUCACAAAGAGUUUGUUUCAUCCAAAGAAUUUGUGCACAACAACUAGCAACCGCAAUAUAUUCCGCUUCGGUAGUGGAUAAGGCAACCGAAUUUUGCUUUUUACUAAACCAAGAUACUAAGGAACUACCAAGAAAUUGACAAGUCCCACUAGUACUUUUACGGUCAAGUAAACUACCGGCAAAGUCCGCAUCGGAAUAUCCUACCAAAUUAAACUCAACAUUUCUAGGAUACCAUAAUCCAACAUCAAUAGUUCCAAGCAAAUAUUUAAGUAUCCUUUUAACGGCAUGGAAAUGUGAUUCUUUAGGACAAGAUUGAAAUCUAGCACAAAGACAUACACUAAACAUGAUAUCGGGUCUACUAGCGGUCAAAUAAAGUAAAGAUCCGAUCAUACCUCGAUAAGUCUUUAUAUCCACACACUUACCUUUUUCUUCUUUGUCAAGCUUAGUGGUAGUGCUCAUAGGAGUUUUUGCAACUUUACCUUCAUUUAAUUUGAAUCUCUGCAACUUUACCUUCAUUUAAUUUGAAUUUCUUGAGCAAAUCCCUUGUGUAUUUUUCUUGACUUAUGAAGAUGCCAUCCUUGAGUUGUUUGAUUUGAAGACCAAGGAAGAAACUAAGUUCUCCCAUCAUACUCAUCUCAAACUCAUUAUGCAUACACUUGGAAAAUUCUUCACACAAAGAUGAAUUAGUAGAACCAAAUAUAAUAUCAUCCACAUAAAUUUGUACUAUAAGCAUGUCAUUAUUUUUAACUUUAAUAAAUAGAGUAUUAUCAAUUUUUCCCAUCUUAAAGUCAUUCUCAAGUAAAAACUUGCUAAGUCUAUCAUACCAAGCUCUUGGAGCUUGUUUUAAGCCAUAAAGAGCCCUUUUCAACUUAUAAACAUGAUUAGGUAAAUCAAAACUUUCAAAGCCCGGAGGUUGUUCUACGUAAACUUCCUCCACAAUAUAACCGUUUAAAAAAGCACUUUUUACAUCCAUUUGAUACAAAAUGAAAUUUUUAUAAGAAGCAAAAGCAAGCAACAUUCUAAUAGCUUCUAAUCUAGCAACCGGUGCAAAAGUCUCUUCAUAAUCUAUACCUUCUUCUUGACAAUAACCUUGAGCUACAAGUCUAGCUUUAUUUCUAAUGAUAUUUCCAUUUUCAUCCAUCUUAUUUCUAAAAACCCAUUUAGUUCCGAUUAUAGAUGCAUUAGAAGGCCUAGGGACUAAUUUCCAAACUUUGUUUCUUUCAAAUUGAUUUAAUUCUUCUUGCAUAGCUAAAAUCCAAAACUCAUCACAUUCGGCAUCUUUAAAACUUCUAGGUUCAAUUUGAGACACAAAAGCAAGAUUACUAAAUAAAUUAAGAGAAGAACGAGUUUUGACACCUUGUUCGGGAUUGCCAAGAAUUAGAUCCUUGGGAUGGGAUAGAGCAUAUCUCCACUCUUUAGGCAAGGAUGAAGAACCCUCUUCUUUCUUUUCUAUGAUGUUCACAUCUUGCAUACUUGGAACAAUUUCUUUGCCUUUGUCAUUAACAAGUAAAUCUCCAAAAUCUUUUUCUAAAUCAUCACUACAAAUAGACUCAUUAGAAACAUUAUUCCAAGAUUCAUCAAAUACAACAUGAAUAGAUUCCUCAAUAACUAAAGUUUUCUUAUUGAAAACUCUAUAAGCUUUACUAGUAGAGGAAUAUCCUAGAAAAAUACCAACAUCCGUCUUAGAAUCAAAUUUUCCAAGUUUUUCUUUGUUAUUCAAAAUAAAACAUUUACAACCGAAAACUUUGAAAUACCCAAUAUUUGGAAUUUUUCCAUGCCAAAGUUCAUAAGGAGUUUUAUCUAAAGAGGGUCUAACUAAAACUCUAUUUGAAACAUAGCAAGCGGUGUUAACGGCUUCCGCCCAAAAAUAUUUAGGUAAACCAUACUCAUUCAACAUUGAUCUAGCAAAUUCUUGCAAAGUAUGAUUUUUCCUUUCAACUACACCAUUUUGUUGAGGAGUUCUUGGAAAGGAAAAAUUAUGGGAAAAACCAUUUUCUUCACAAAAAGCUUUAAGAGCAUCAUUAUCAAAUUCUCCUCCGUGAUCACUCCUAAUUUUGGAAAUAAAAAAUCCUUUUUCAUUUUGUACUCUUUUUGCAAAACUAAUAAAACUUUUCAAAGCAUCAUCCUUAUGUUUUAUCAUCAAAACCCAAGUAAAUCUAGAAAAAUCAUCAACUAUCACAAAAGCAUAAUAAUUUCCUCCAUAGCUAGCAAUUCUAGAAGGGCCAAAUAAGUCCAUGUGUAAUAGUUGUAAGGGUCUAGUAGUAGAGAUCACAUUUUUAGAUUUGAAAGAGGACUUAGUUUGCUUACCCAUUUGACAAGCAUCACAAACUUUGUCUUUUUCAAAUUUAAAACUAGGAAGACCUCUAACCAAACAAUUUUUAGAAAUAUUUGAAAUUAAGUGCAUGCUAGCAUGUCCUAGUCUUCUAUGCCAUAACCAAGAAUCAUUAUGCAAAACCGAAAGACAUUUAUCAAUAAUAGGAUAAUCAUUCAAAUCAAGAGUGUACACAUUUUCAUCCCUAUUUCCAACAAACAAAACUUUUCUAUCACUAACAUUUUCAAUUAUGCAAUUUUUUUUUAUCAAAUAUUACUCUAAAUCCUUUAUCACACAAUUGACUAAUACUAAGCAAAUCAUGCUUUAAACCAUCAACCAAAUGAACAUUUUCAAUCAAAGUAGAUGAAUCAUUUCCUAUAUUACCCUUACCAAUUAUUUUACCUUUCUUGUUGUCACCAAAGGUUACCAUGCCUCCAUUCUUUUUGGAGAAAGAGAUAAGCUUGGAUCGGUCUCCCGUCAUGUGUCUUGAGCAACCACUAUCCAAGUACCAUUUGUUUUUCUUGGAGGCUUUCAAACAAACCUAAAAACAACUAAUUUCAAGUUUGAUCCUUUGGUACCCAUACUUGUUUGGGUCCUAGAAUGUUAGCAUUUACAUAUUUAGGGAUCCAUUUCAUUUUUUCAUAGACAUUACAAGCACUAGAUCUAGAUAGGUAACAAGAAUAAGCUUUAUGUCCAUACUUGCCACAAGAAAAAACAAACAACAUUAUGCAAAGAUUUAUUUUUCAUAACAAAUUUAUGUACUCUACUUUUAUUGGAGAAAUUCUUCCUUGGAGCAAUGUAAAACUUUGCUCUUUGCGAAAAAUUUCUUCUUGAAUAAGUAUUUUGAGCAUACUUCAAUUUAAAGCAUUUAGGUCUAAUGUGACCUUCAACACCACAAUUAUGACAUAUGGGUACAAAACUAUGAUUAGACACAUGAUUAGACAUGUUAAACUUAGGCACAAUAGGUGAUGCUUUAACGAAUGUAGUUUUAGAACUUGAAGGAGUAGAUGAUUCAUCAAUAUAGCCUAAACCUCUCUUAUCACCAUAAGAUUUUCCUACUUCAAUAAUUUUGUCCAAUCUUUGAGCACCUAUUGUCAACUUUUUAAUAGUUUCUUUAGCUUUAUCAAGUUCUUGUAAAACACUUAGUUCAUUUUCUUUAAGCACUUUAAUCAAGUUAUCUUUUUCACAACUAUCAUGCUCAAGAAAUCUAACUUUAUCAAGCAAAGCAUCUUUCUCAAUACAAACAUGCUUAUCACUAGAGACAUUCAAUUCUUCAAUUUGCUCAAAAUUUUCAUUCUCUUUAAAGCAAGCAAUUGUAUCAAGUAAAGACUUAUUUUCACUAAUUAAAACAUUGUAUUUCUUCUUAAGCACAACAUACUUAGAACUAAGUUUUUCUAGGUCAUUUUGCAUGCUUUCAAAAUUUUCAAAUAAUUCAUCAAUAGAAAGAGGUUCUAGAGUUACCUUAUCAUCAUGUUCAUCAUCUUUGUCACUAUGAGCCAUGAGACCAAGAUUUGCCAUUUCUUCAACUUCACUUUCACUUUCACUACUAUCAUCCCAUGUAGCCUUCAUUGCCUUCUUCUUGGAUUUCUUAGAUGAUUUGAGGAGAGGACAAUCCGUUCUUAUAUGACCCGAUCUUUUGCAUUCAUAACAAAUCACCUCAUCCUUUUUGCUUUUCUCACCUUUUGACUCUUUUUGGG